rnacentral:lncRNA from 1 species
AGGUCUUCCUUAAUCUGAUUGGCCAGUUGACUGUGUUGUACCUGUUGAAGCCCUAUUGUUGUUGUGUGGGUGGCUGUUGCAGGGUGAGAGCCAUUGGGAGGGCUGAUGUGGAACCUUUUGUUUGACUGUAAGGGAAGCUCAGUACUUAAGAGACAGGGUAAAAAUGUAUGAAAUAAGGAGAAUGAAAGGAGUUUUUCAGGGGAGAAGCCAGAGUGGGAGGGGACUGAAAGCCCAUACAUAGGAGGAAGCUUGUGGUUGAACUUUUGUCUGGUCCCUGUGUUGUUGGCCCCACCUCAAACCAGUUAGGAUGCAGAAGCAGCAGCAUCCUCAGAGGAAGGCACAGAGCCCAACCUCCACAGUAGUCACAGCUAGUCGUGGAGUACUCCAGCAGCCAAAGAAGCAAGCUGGACCUGAAGGAUGUUAAGCUGAUCUGAGAUUUCUCUACGGCUUUUGAGCUCUGGUGUUUUGCCUGAGUGUAUGUCUGUGUGCCACAUGCAUGCAGUGCCCAGGAGGCCAGGAGAAGGCAUUGGAUUCCCUGGGACUGGAGUUACAGCCAUGCGGGUACAUGCCUGGUGCCCACAGGGGUCAGAAGAGGAUGUAAGAUCACCUAUAAUUGGAGUUACAGACAGUUGUGAGCUACCAUGUGGGCCCUGGAAAUUGAACCCAGGUCCUCUAAAAGAGCAACAAGUUCUCUGUAUUUUUAAUAAAAAGAAAAUACCACUGUUACAAGCAUCCAUGGUGAGCAAUAGAAACAUUACCAGCUAAUACCUUCCCCGAGGCACGACCUUCUCCAAGUGAUGUAAAAAAUCAGAUGGCAAGGACUCAAAAAGUACAGUUAAGUCAAGAAUGUAAUCUAGUCAGAGAAGACCUACUGUGAAGGAGACAAUAUCCUAGAGAGAUGAGGCAUCUUGUUCCAAGACUGACUGCUAGCAACGUACAUUGGAUUUACCCAGUUUUGUACUUUAAACAAGGAAGUUUGUGCCUACCUUUUUUUUUCAUUCAACAUUUAUGCCUGUAGCUAUAAUUCUUUCAUUCUCAUUGCAACGUUCCUGCAUUGAAUACUUCCCAUGGUCAGUUUGAUAUUAUUCCAGUAGAGCUACUCCACAAGUGUUUUACCAAAGGAUUGCAUUUGGCAUGCCAAAGAUGUUUGCCCAGUAGUUUUGAAGAUAAACCAGCAGUAUAUAAGCAAUACACUAGAGCGGUAGUUUUUGGAUGCCAAUAUACACUGAAGGUCCCUGGAAGGCUUGCUAGAAUAGAGAUUUCUAGACUCACUUUGGUUCAGAGGGUCUGUGGCGGGCUUGAGAACCCUCCUUUCUAACAAGUUCCCUGAGUACCAGUGAAACUGCUUGUUCAGUGACCAUGAUUUUUUUCCCCUCUCUGAGUGCUUAUCAGUGUUUGUUAACAUAUAAAACAGUAGGUUUUAUUACAUUUUCACACAUGUAAUAAAGGUACAUUGGUC